GGGAAUGUGGCUUAGUGGUACAGUGCUUGCCUACCAUGCAUGAAGCCCUGGGUUCAAUUCCUCAGUACCA
rfam:Dipodomys ordii contig_7524, whole genome shotgun sequence.